UACUAGAGUAGCACUCGCAUAUCAAUAGCGGAGGAAAAGAAACUAACAAGGAUUCCCCUAGUAACGGCGAGUGAAGCGGGAAGAGCUCAAAUUUGAAAUCUUAAAGGGUUUCCCUUUACGAAUUGUAGUUUAAAGAAGUGUUUUCUGUUGGAGUUUCGGUAAAAGUUCUUUGGAAUAGGACAUCAUAGAGGGUGAGAAUCCCGUAUUUGACCGUUACUUUCCAGCUGUGUGAUACACUUUCAAAGAGUCGGAUUGUUUGGGAAUGCAGUCCAAAAUGGGUGGUAAAUUUCAUCUAAAGCUAAAUAUUGGCGAGAGACCGAUAGCGAACAAGUACCGUGAGGGAAAGAUGAAAAGAACUUUGAAAAGAGAGUUAAACAGUACGUGAAAUUGUCAAAAGGGAAGCGUUUGACACCAGUGUUGUUUUUCCGAAAAUCAAUUAUGAAUGGCUUGAUUUUAAGUUUCAUGACCUUAAAAGCUUGUUUCUUAUUUUUCAUGUCUUUCGUAAUGCACUUUUCGGUUAACAAGUCAACAUCAAUUUCUUUUGUUGUAAAAGGUUAAGAGGAAGGUGGCUUUACUUUCGGGUAAAGUGCUUAUAGCCUUUUAACUCUGCAAUCGGAGAGAUUGAGGUCUGCAGCGUAGAUCCUUCGGGGUUAGAUACGUUUGUGCUAAGUUAUAGCUUUUCAUAGUCAACUUGUUGACUAUGUUAAGUCUUGUAAUUUACUCGCAGAUGCUAUUUUACCUACGCUUAGGAUGUUGAUAGUCACAGCGUGUAC
rnacentral:rRNA from 1 species